GACGUACUGCGCGAACGUUAUUCGGAAUCACUGGGCUUAAAGGGUGCGCAGGCGGCUUCUCAAGCCCGGGGUGAAAGGCCCCGGCCCAACCGGGGACGGUCUUCGGGGACUGAGAGGCUCGGGCGAGCUAGGGGUCCGUGGAACUCCCCGGUGGAGCGGUGAAAUGUGUUGAGAUCGGGAGGAACGCCGGUGGCGAAAGCGACGGACUGGGGCUUUUGCCGACGCUCAGGCACGAAAGCCAGGGGGAGCGAACGGG
rnacentral:rRNA from 1 species